AGAGUAAAGCUGCGUUCGUUAAGUGUUGACCGAACGGGGAGUUGUCGGUCAAACGAAAAGCUCAUGUUCCGUCGCUUGCGGAAUAUAAGACGCUUGCGGUCCACAGCUUGCAUCCCGCU
rnacentral:ncRNA from 1 species